UACGGGGGAGCAAGCGUUGUUCGGAUUUACUGGGCGUAAAGGGCGCGUAGGCGGUCAGCACAAGUCAGUUGUGAAAUCUCCGGGCUUAACUCGGAAAGGUCAACUGAUACUGUGCGACUAGAGUGCAGAAGGGGCAACUGGAAUUCUCGGUGUAGCGGUGAAAUGCGUAGAUAUCGAGAGGAACACCUGCGGCGAAGCGGUGCUG
rnacentral:rRNA from 1 species